rnacentral:lncRNA from 1 species
AAAGAUUCGGCAAGUGUGGGGAAAAUCGGUGGAAGGAUGGAAUGAUUCUUAUGGUUUGUGGUGGAUGAAUCGGCUAAGUAAUUUUCUGUAUAGGGUUUGGUAGAGUUUUGAUAGGAGCAUAAAAUACGACAUUCUUAAUGUGUUAUUACCUCCAUUUGUACUUUGAUUAUCUCUUAUUGUCGUAGAAUAGAGUCAUAAUGUAGAGUCGAAAGUUUUUGGUAGAGUUGUGCGUAAAAUGUGUUAAACAUAGAGGAAUAAUGUAGAAAAUUGUCAAAAGCCGAUUUGUGGAGCCUUAGAGAUGUUCUUAUGAUUCUGUAAAGCUUUUACAUUGUCACAAAUUGAUUUAACUUCUCUGAUACUUAGGUGAUAUGUAGAAGAGUUAUGGCAAAAAGAAUCAGGAGAAUUGAAGUUAUGCUUGAAUCAUUGCCGAGAGAAGUGUUCCUGAUGGACCUAGGGAAGCAAAGCAGCUGAUCCACGAAGCCUAGUCCAUGAAGGAGAGGUCCAAACCAAGUCCAAUAUGGAGAAGAAGAUCUAAAUUCGGCAGAAUAUCAAGGAAUAUCCAAGUCUUGAAAAUCCGGAUAAAAUCGGGAGAAUUCCUGUGCACGUCUGUCAACUUCAACGGACUCUCCAGGACAGCUCACAAUGAAUCAGAAAACGUGCUAGAUAUGGAUAGAGAGCUACGGCAGUCUAGUUUCCAAAUCAAUUGGAAUCACCUCAAUAUCUAUUUUCUAGAGGGAGUUAUGACGUAAUC